GCAGCUUGCCCUACACUAGCUAGCUGCUAGCAUGUCCAUAUAUUUCACAUGUCUGAUAUACUUCCAACACAAAAAAUAUAAAAAUGGAUACGGUUCACAUAUUUAAAUGUUUGAUACGUAGCGCAUGUUGAGCGUGGGUGCAUAUGAAUCUCAUGAAAUUUGUGGUUUUGAAAUAAUAUUCUUUUACUUAAUUUCCAGAACAAAACAAAAAACAGCUCUUCAUUAUUUUAUUUAUUUAUUUAUUUAUUUUAAAAUGAUAACUAGUGGUAAGACACGGUUAUCUACCAUUUAUGGGCACGAAUAGACUAUAGGGAAUUUUAUUAUUCAGUAUAUAGAAAAAAAAAUACAUAAAAUCCCUAAUUACUCAAUAACCCAAAAUUACCCUCAUUGGAUGAAAACUAUUCAUAAUACAUGUACCUCAUAUUGUUUUUUAUUUAUUUAUAAUAAAUACAAUAUUAUCUACAAUUAAACUUCAGAGGCAUAAUAAUCUGGUUUGACUUCGCCUUUAGCGAAAAUUAAAUUUAAGACCUCUCGCUUACAAGUGAAGAGAAAUACCACUAGACCGUAGUAAAUUAAACUUUAUCUAAAUAAAAUGAAGAAAAAUCAUUUAUUUCUAUCAAAACAAACAAUUUUAUAUGAAAAAUUCAAACACAUACAACUAACAACAAAGUACCAAACUCAAAAGGCAACAAAAUAACGAGUUAAUAGAGCAAAAACUAAAGGGGACAAAAGUUAUACAAAUGACUACAAAAGCCAGCUGGUUAGCAAAUUAAUAUUAACUCAAGCUAACCAAGGCCACAAAAGCCACAUAUCAACCAUAACCCCUAAAGCUAAAGCAACCCAUAAGCCUAAAUAAGGACUGCCUGUCACCAGUACUAAGACUAAGAGCAUAUAUUCUCCCUUAUAAU
rnacentral:lncRNA from 1 species